GAGCACUUGAUUUGGUUGCACCCAUACUAAAUCUGUUAUAAGAGAAGACUGGCCUGGCCCCUGUGUAAGGAUGAUAUAUAUAUUCAUGAAACAUUUCAUAUUUUC
ensembl:snRNA U6 U6 spliceosomal RNA